ACCCGUUGCUGGGGACGUCGAAGGCCCGGGCGGACUGGUACCCCGACGUCGUGCGUUCGCGCCGACGAAGGGGGAAACCUCCGGUGUCCUGGCAGCCCUGCGACGGUCGAGCAGCAGAGGGGCAACAGUCCUCCCUCUCGCGGCGUGCAAAAGGUCGGUGACCCACCCGACCCGUCUUGAAACACGGACCAAGGAGUCUAACAUGUGUGCGAGUCAUUGGGCGCACUAAACCCAGAGGCGUAAUGAAAGUGAAAGGGGGGCGUCCCGGGGUCUUCGGGCCUCGGUCGGCGCCCUCCGGGGCCGAUCCCCGACCGCCUGUUGCCGUCUCUGUUGCCCAUUCCAAAGCGAGGUCAAGGGGGUGCGCGGGGUGAGUCCCUUUCCCCCGCGCUACCCCGGCUUCGUGGGUUCAGGGCGCGCGCGACGGUCCGGCUCCUUCACGGGAGUCGCUUGUACGCAGGGGGGCGCAGGCCCGGGACUUGCCAUUCGACGCCGUCGCGCAAAUCUGUUGUUGGCCUCGCCGGCUUUGCUUGGGCUCUCGGUUGGCGUGCCGCGCGUCAGGCGGGCUUUGGGUGGGGGUUUCGGCUCUCACUCGGGUUCGUCCCGCGCGGUUUUGCCUUCCG
rnacentral:rRNA from 4 species